GUACCCGCUGAACUUAAGCAUAUCAAUAAGCGGAGGAAAAGAAACCAACAGGGAUUGCCUCAGUAACGGCGAGUGAAGCGGCAACAGCUCAAAUUUUAAAGCUGGCGUCCUCGACGCCCGCGUUGUAAUUUGGAGAGGCAUCUUCGGUUUGGGCGCCAGCCUAUGUUCCUUGGAACAGGACGUCACAGAGGGUGAGAAUCCCGUGCUUGGCUGGCUGUCCCUCUCCAUGUGAAGUGUCUUCGACGAGUCGAGUUGUUUGGGAAUGCAGCUCAAAAUGGGUGGUAAAUUUCAUCUAAAGCUAAAUAUCGGCGGGAGACCGAUAGCGCACAAGUAGAGUGAUCGAAAGAUGAAAAGCACUUUGAAAAUAGAGUUAAAAAGUACGUGAAAUUGUUGAAAGGGAAGCGCUUGAGACCAGACUCGGCCGACGGCGAUCAGCGGCCCUUCUGGGCUGUGCACUCGUCAUCGGUUCGGGCCAGCAUCGGUCGAGACGGCGGGAUAAAGGCCCGAGGAAUGUGGCUCCUCUCGGGGAGUGUUAUAGCCUCGGGUGCAAUGCCGCCAGCCUCGACCGAGGACCGCGCUCUUUUGCUAGGAUGCAGGCGUAAUGAUCUUCAGCGACCCGUCUUGAAACAUGGACCAAGGAGUCUAACAUCUAUGCGAGUGUUUGGGUGUCAAACCCUUGCGCGUAAUGAAAGUGAACGGAGGUGGGAACCCCUCCUCUGGGGGGGCGCACCAUCGACCGAUCCUGAUGUCUUCGGAUGGAUUUGAGUAGGAGCAUAGCUGUUGGGACCCGAAAGAUGGUGAACUAUGCCUGAAUAGGGUGAAGCCAGAGGAAACUCUUACCGUUACUAGUGGGCCAUUUUUGGUAAG
rnacentral:rRNA from 1 species